CGGCACGGGUGAGUAACACGUAUCCAACCUGCCGUCUACUCUUGGACAGCCUUCUGAAAGGAAGAUUAAUACAAGAUGGCAUCAUGAGUCCGCAUGUUCACAUGAUUAAAGGUAUUCCGGUAGACGAUGGGGAUGCGUUCCAUUAGAUAGUAGGCGGGGUAACGGCCCACCUAGUCUUCGAUGGAUAGGGGUUCUGAGAGGAAGGUCCCCCACAUUGGGACUGAGACACGGUCCAA
rnacentral:rRNA from 1 species